GCAUCCAUGGCUGAAUGGUUAAAGCGCCCAACCUAAUAAAGGGGGAAAUUCGUGGGUUCGAUUCCUGCUGGAUGCA
rnacentral:tRNA from 1 species